rnacentral:rRNA from 1 species
CCUUGGUGCUCUUUGCUCAGUUGGACCCACACCAAUCCAUCCCGAACUUGGUUGUGAAAAAGCUGAGGGGACUGAAGAACUUUACGGGUCGCCGUCUGGAAUCUCAGUUCUAGUGCUAGGGUUAAAAAAUAUUUAAAUAAUG